rnacentral:rRNA from 1 species
UACGUAGGGUCCGAGCGUUAAUCGGAAUUACUGGGCGUAAAGGGCUCGUAGGCGGCCAACUAAGUCGGACGUGAAAUCCCUCAGCUUAACUGGGGAACUGCGUCCGAUACUGGAUGGCUUGGAUUUGGGAGAGGGAUGCGGAAUUCCAGGUGUAGCGGUGAAAUGCGUAGAUAUCUGGAGGAACACCGGUGGCGAAGGCGUCAUCCUGGACCAAUAUUGACGCUGAGGAUCGAAAGCCAGGGGAGCAAACGGG